ensembl:lncRNA
GCAGUGUGUGUGUGCGCUGUGUAAAAGUAACUUUUAAGCCUCCAAUUGUGAGAGCGGUGAUUCUGUAGGUCACUAUGCAAAAAAAAAAAAAAAAAAAAAGUGUAGAGUAAAGAAGAGACAAAAUUUACAUUGAAGAUGAAAAAAAAACAAUCAUAGAGAAAAGGAGGUUUCAAAAAAAAAGAGAGAGUUCUGUGUGUCGGUUAAGCAGUGAUGAUAAUAAUGAAAAAUGUCUUAGUUUUGUCACUUUCAGAUGAAAAGCAGACCUGGAUCGAUUUUCCACAUGCAGCGGUCGGAAGAAAGUUAUAGUUUUACACCAUUGGAAAUGUUCAGGCCAAUUUCUGGCUAACUUAUGUACAGCACCAUGUGUUCCUCAACCUCAUAAGCGAGCUCUCACUCCUCCCUGAAGACAAGGAAUGCAGUUCCAAAGAGCAAUAACAUGGCAGAUAAAGAGACAGCAGCAAAGUCCUGAGCAAAGAGUCCCAGCAAGCAGCAGCAGUGUGGACAAACAGCAUCGGAGAAGAAGAGCAAACCCAUCAUCCUGACUGAUUGGAUGAAUGGCACUGUGUUUCCAACAAGCUGCAACUUCACUGUGCUUGUGAAAAGAACGUUUGAGGAGAACUGAGGAGACUGUUGGAAGUUGACAUUUGCCACCUUUGGAGAAAAUGGCAAGAAGCAUACUUUAACAGCUAAAAUUCAGUGGCGAACCAUCCUACCUUUGUUAAUAAGGGCUAGAAACAUACUCUGACGGGUGACAUUAAGUGCCAAACCAUGCUACCUUUGUGAAUGUUACCUAUAAGCAUAAUUUAAUGGGUAAAAUGAAGUGGCAAACCAUCCUGGCUUUAAGAAUAUGAGCUACAAGCAUACUCUGAUGGGCAACGUUAAGUGGCAAACCACCAUACCUACUUUAGUUUGUGCUGGAAUUACUCUGUGCCAGCAGAAAUGUGCAGAAACUACCUACGGUAGGACGUUUUGCCAAAGUAGGAUGGUUUGUCAGAACACCGGCAUGGAGGGUCCAGACACUCCCACGGCGCAGAUUUGCUAUCCCCACAGAGCGUUUCUGGUGUGGCUUAUGGAAAAUACAGCCUGUUUCUCUGCUCCCGAGGGGAGGUCACGACAGGAGUUCCCUGAGUUGACACGUAUGAACCAUAAAGUCAGUUUGGACUGAGGAGCAGUUGGACCAACACGGACAUCAGUUUAGACUGAAAUCCAGUUCCAACGGCACAUGCAACAUGUUCAAGCUUGCACGGAGGCAUCUUUCUUUCAGCUUAACGAGUGAACCGUCAGCUCGUUCAAACACACGUUAAAGUCCGUUUGGCUCGACACCACCGAACAGAGGCAGCAAUAUAACAUAGCUAACAUUAACAGUGCAGUGAAUCCUGCUUGUGCCGUGAUAUUCAGGACUGCAAACCGAGCAGCAUCACUGACUUUCAGCUUGUGUUUGUGGAUAUAUGACUGACUUUAAUUAUCCAUGAAAUCAUCACAUUCUCUGUAAGAUUAAGGUCGACUAUUUAACGGCGAAUAUUUUAAAGUAAAGGCUUUAAAACCAAGUUAGUACAAACAUCACUAAUGACACAUAACUUUGCCGACAUGUGGCCAACAGUGAUGUUUUAAAGUUCUUCAUUAUUAAACAUUUACACAUAAAUAAGUGACAUAAUAUUCAGUAAGGCAAGUUUAUUUAUAGCACAAUUCAACAACAAGGUCAUUCAAAGUGCUUUAAAGAGACAUUAAAAAACAAAAACAAAUAAAAAGCAUGAUUUAAAAUUGAUUAAAAAAAAUUAAGCUUAAAAGUGUGGAUUUGGUGCUUUAUUCAAAUGCAGCUGAGAACAGGUGAGUCUUCAACCUGGAUUUAAAUAAACUGAGUGUUUCAGCUGAUCUGAGGCUUUCUGACAGUUUGUUCCAGAUAUAUGGAGUAGUGAUGGGUCGUUCGCGAACGAAAUGGCUCUUAGAGCCGGAUCUUUGAAGUGAACGACGCUAGCCGUGGGUUUUUUUUUUCUUUCUCUCACCCUCUCUCUCUCUCUCGCACUUUUUUUUCUGCUUCACUCCGCACGCGAGCCUUGUGCUUUGCGCUGGGCAGAGGGGGGAGGGGCGGUAGUUACAGUCGCAGUAGCAGAGGAACAGAGCGGGAGGGAGAGAGAGAGAAAGAGAUCCAGGGACAACAACGUCACAUUAGAAAGGUAUAGUAAUCAUCCACAACUAUUUUCAGUUGCAGAUGAUAAAGGAUUCAGAAAGUUUAUUCAUGCAAGCCCAUAUGACAGAGAAUAUGCAUCUUCUUUUUCAUAUCUUAAUUUAUAUUUAAUUGUGCUGUGGUUUGCAGUGUUUUGUGUUGUUUCAUUUUAAAUUUGUUUAAAAGGAAAAGCUAAAAAUUUAAAUAGUUAAAAGUUGAACAGUGACUAGUUGGUUUUUGUAUUAUAUGAUUUAUUUAUUACAUUUUAUGUGGAGUGACUAAAUAAAAGUAUAUUUACGGUGGCCCCUAGAGACAGAGCAGCAAGUACAUACUCCAAAACACGUAAAAACUCCAAAACACAUAAAAACUCAGGCUACGUCCACACGUACCCAGGUAUUUUUGAAAACGGAGAUUUCUAAAAAUGUCUAUUUUCGAAAACUCCGUUUUUGCAUUUACGUGGAUGAGGAAAACGGAGAAAACGCAGCGUCAAAGAUGUGCGCCUUUUUUGACGUCACACUGUGCGCCACGUUUUGUUUCAGUGAAAUGAAUUUCUAUAAUACUGUUACUGUUAAUUGUACUCUCUGCAGUGUUUAAAUGCUUACAUAUACACACACAGUUACUGUCCCUCCACACAUACGACUCAGUUCUGCUUCUAUGCCCCAUCUUUGUUUACUAUUUCCCACCGAGGCUUCUAGACUUCUGAUUGGCCAACAUUUCUACACGUUUAGGAAUAUAUUGGCACCUGUUGCUUUGGCAUGUUCCUAGCAGCGUUUUCCUUCAUUUCUGCAUUUACAUGUGGACGGGAUUAUUUUUUAAAACAAAAACAGAAAAUCUCUGUUUUCAAAAAUACCCGUGUACGUGUGGACGUAGCCUCAGAAGCACGUAAAAACUCCAAAACAUGUACAAAAGACAACAGAAGUGCUCCAGAAUGCUAGGCGCAGUGUUGAGCUUUUGUUACCUAGAGGCUACACAAGCCAGCAAGUACCAACGACCGGUGUGUGGUAGUAAGAGGUAAAUGAACUUUUUUUUAAAUUAUUUGAAUAUAUAUGAGUGCUUGUGUAUAAAUACACAAACAAUACACAUAUGCUUUCAAUUGUGUAAUUUAAGUGAUCUAGGUAGCUCUGUUUUGGAAGUUCAGUUCAUGCUAGAAAUGUGUUUUAGAGUUUGUACAUGCUUUUUGGAGUUUGUACGUGUCUCUAGGGGCCACUGUAUAUAUUUAUUUAUAAACAUAUAUAAAUAAAACCACUUUUUUUACAUUAGUAAUUCCUUUUGUGCAUAAUUUUAUAUUAUUGUAAAAAUAAAUAAAUUAAAGCAACAAAACAACCUGAAGAGCCGGUUCGGAGCCGAAAGAACCGGCUCUUUUUAGUGAGCCGAGCCGAAAGAGCCGGUUCUCUAAAAAGAGCCGGAAAUCCCAUCACUAAUAUGGAGCAUAAAAGCUGAAUGCAGCUUCUUUGUGUCUGGUUCUGGCUCUGGGAACUGAUAAAAAAAAACAGAUUCAGGUGACCUGAGGGAUCUGGAAGGUUCAUACUGGGUCAGAAGGUCACUGAUGUAUUUUGGUCCUAAACCAUUCAGAGAUUUAUAGACCAGCAUCAGAACUUCAAAGUCUAUCCUCUGACGGACAGGCAGCCAGAGUAAAGACCUCAGAGCUGGACUGGUGUGGUCCACUUUUUUGGUCUUAGUGAGGACUCGAGCAGCAGCAGAGUUCUGAAUGAGCUGUAGUUGUCUGACUGAUUGUUUAGGUAGACCUGUAAAGAUGCUGUUACAGUAAUCAAGCCUACUAAAAAUGAAUGCAUGGACUAGUUUUUCCAGGUCCUGUUGAGACAUCAUAUGAGUACUUACUUUUAAACGUUUACUCUUUGGCUGCUCUGCUUCCACUGUUUUUUUUUCCGGCAAAAUUAUCCACACCCACCGCCGCGCUAUGUAAUCUGGGAUAUGUUGGGCCACGAAGUCUACACUGACACAUCCUUAAAAUUCAGGGAAAUGCAGACCCUGAAUUGGGAUACAGCCCAGGAGUGACAUGUUUAGCCACAUGUUCUCCUUAAGUUGCUGGCUGUCUGAGUGGUGUCCAAGAAACGAUGUGGGCUUCAUAGAUAAUUGGCAAACCUUCUGGAGGAAACCUGGUCUUGUUAGGAGAGACGGCAUCCAUCCCGCUUUGGAUGGAGCAGCUCUCAUUUCUAGAAAUAUGGACAAAUUUAUUAAACCCCCCAAAAUAUGACUAUCCAGAGUUGGGACCAGGAAGCAGAGCUGCAGUCUUACACGCCUCUCUGCAGCUUCUCUCCUCCUGAAACGACAGCCUCAACACAGCAUUUAAUCUGUUAUUAGACUAUUAAAUAUUUCACUUUAAUGUUGUAACUAUGCGGUCACUUCUGUCUUUAAACAAAAUAUUUUCCAGUUACAGAAAUCAUGAAGUCCAAACUAAAGUGUUACUGAUGCUAUAUGCAUUUUAUAUAAAUAAUCGAUGAUGGUACUGAC